UGGGGAAUAUUGGACAAUGCGGGAAACCGUGAUCCAGCAAUGCCGCGUGAGUGAUGAAGGCCUUAGGGUUGUAAAGCUCUUUUACCAGGGAUGAUAAUGACAGUACCUGGAGAAUAAGCUCCGGCUAAUUCCGUGCCAGCAGCCGCGGUAAUACGGAGGGAGCUAGCGUUGUUCGGAAUUACUGGGCGUAAAGCGCGCGUAGGCGGGCUGUUAAGUCAGAGGUGAAAUCCCGGGGCUCAACCCCGGAACGGCCUUUGAUACUGGCAGCCUUGAGUUCGAGAGAGGUGAGUGGAAUUCCGAGUGUAGAGGUGAAAUUCGUAGAUAUUCGGAGGAACACCAGUGGCGAAGGCGGCUCACUGGCUCGAUACUGACGCUGAGGUGCGAAAGCGUGGGGAGCAAACAGGAUUAGAUACCCGGGUAGUCC
rnacentral:rRNA from 1 species